CGUGGAGCAUGUGGUUUAAUUUCGAAGCAACGCGAAGAACCUUACCAGGUCUUGACAUCCCGAUGCUAUUUCUAGAGAUAGAAAGUUACUUCGGUACAUCGGUGACAGGUGGUGCAUGGUUGUCGUCAGCUCGUGUCGUGAGAUGUUGGGUUAAGUCCCGCAACGAGCGCAACCCCUAUUGUUAGUUGCUACAUUCAGUUGGGCACUCUAAUGAGACUGCCGGUGACAAGCCGGAGGAAGGUGGGGAUGACGUCAAGUCCUCAUGGCCCUUAUAGGUGGGGCUACACACGUCAUACAAUGGCUGGUACAAAGGGUUGCCAACCCGCGAGGGGGAGCCAAUCCCAUAAAGCCAGUCGUAGUCCGGAUCGUAGUCUGCAACUCGACUACGUGAAGUCGGAAUCGCUAGUAAUCGUGGAUCAGAAUGUCACGGUGAAUACGUUCCCGGGUCUU
rnacentral:rRNA from 1 species